rnacentral:lncRNA from 1 species
CAAGUUGCGUGGUGAAAUUCCCUACUUGGACGACCAAUCACUUAGGAGAUACCUAACUUGCCGACUUUGCAUGUUAAACACUAGGAAAUAGUUACUAUUAUUAGAAUUACUGCAUUAUGAACUUGUGGGGAACAAACGUGCCCUAGUUUCAUCUCAUAUUGGUAUUACAAACUGUGAAUCCUAUUACUUGUUACUAGAAAUAAAUAAAUUGUUAUUUUAU